rnacentral:lncRNA from 1 species
AAAAUAAAGAGAAGAAAUGUAUGUACAAACGAGAUAUCCAACAACAAGAAGGAAAUUUAGAAGGAAACAAUAAAUCUAUGAAGAGUAGAGAGUUUCCCAAAUCUUAGUGAAUACUUCAAUAAUAACCCUAUGAUGAGAAAUGGAGUCAAAAUGCAUACACUUUCUGACAAAGGAACUCACAGUGGCACAAUGGUAUUAAAG